GACGAACGCUGGCGGCGUGCUUAACACAUGCAAGUCGAACGGAAAGGCCCUGCUUUUGUGGGGUGCUCGAGUGGCGAACGGGUGAGUAACACGUGAGUAACCUGCCCUUGACUUUGGGAUAACUUCAGGAAACUGGGGCUACUACCGGAUAGGAGCUCCUGCUGCAUGGUGGGGGUUGGAAAGUUUCGGCGGUUGGGGAUGGACUCGCGGCUUAUCAGCUUGUUGGUGGGGUAGUGGCUUACCAAGGCUUUGACGGGUAGCCGGCAUGAGAGGGUGGCCGGCCACCAUGGGCCUGAGAUACGGCCCAGACUCCUACGGGAGGCAGAAGUGGGAAAUCUUGCACAGUGGGCCGAAGCCUGAUGCAGCAACGCCGCGUGCGGGAUGACGGCCUUCGGGUUGUAAACCGCUUUCGCCUGUGACGAAGCGUGAGUGACGGUAAUGGGUAAAGAAGCACCGGCUAACUACGUG
rnacentral:rRNA from 1 species